AUACGUAGGGAGCGAGCGUUGUCCGGAAUUACUGGGUGUAAAGGGUGCGUAGGCGGGGAUGCAAGUCAGAUGUGAAAUGUAUGGGCUCAACCCAUGAACUGCAUUUGAAACUGCAACUCUUGAGUGAGGUAGAGGUAAGCGGAAUUCCUAGUGUAGCGGUGAAAUGCGUAGAUAUUAGGGGGAACAUCGGUGGCGAAGGCGGCUUACUGGGCCUUUACUGACGCUGAGGCACGAAAGCGUGGGGAGCAAACAGGAUUAGAUACCCUGGUAGUCCACGCUGUAAACGAUGAUGACUAGGUGUGGGGGGACUGAACCCUUCCGUGCCGCAGUUAACACAAUAAGUCAUCCACCUGGGGAGUACGGCCGCAAGGUUGAAACUCAAAUGAAUUGACGGGG
rnacentral:rRNA from 1 species